rnacentral:rRNA from 1 species
CCUACGGGGGACAGCAGUGGGGAAUAUUGCACAAUGGGGGAAACCCUGAUGCAGCGACGCCGCGUGAAGGAAGAAGUAUUUCGGUAUGUAAACUUCUAUCAGCAGGGAAGAAAAUGACGGUACCUGACUAAGAAGCCCCGGCUAACUACGUGCCAGCAGCCGCGGUAAUACGUAGGGGGCAAGCGUUAACCGGAUUGACUGGGUGUAAAGGGAGAGUCGGAGGCGAUGCAAGUCAGAAGUGAAAGCCCGGGGCUCAACUCCGGGACUGCUUUUGAAACUGUAUGGCUAGAUUGCAUGAGAGGCAAGUGGAAUUCCUGGUGUAGCGGUGAAAUGCGUAGAGAUUAGGAGGAACACCAGUGGCGAAGGCGGCUUGCUGGACUGUAAAUGACGCUGAGGCUCGAAAGCGUGGGGAGCAAACAGGAUUAGAUACCCUUGUAGUC